UACGGAGGGGGCUAGCGUUGUUCGGAAUUACUGGGCGUAAAGCGCACGUAGGCGGCUUUGUAAGUUAGAGGUGAAAGCCCGGAGCUCAACUCCGGAAUUGCCUUUAAGACUGCAUCGCUAGAAUUGUGGAGAGGUGAGUGGAAUUCCGAGUGUAGAGGUGAAAUUCGUAGAUAUUCGGAAGAACACCAGUGGCGAAGGCGGCUCACUGGCCCGUUACCGACGCUCAGGCGCGACAGCGUGGGGAGCAAACAGG
rnacentral:rRNA from 1 species